CUCGGUAUCAUGUGAUCAAAUUUACAGCAGACGACAAAAUUAAUCUGUACGAUUUUAUGGGCCGAUCUGAGACUUAUAUUGAUAAUUUGUGAUUAUUUUUAAUUACAAUGGAGGCAGAAGAUCAGGUUGUAGAAGAAGAUUUAGUGAAUGAUGAUGACGAGGAAUCAUUAUUUGUUGACAUUGACCAACUCCAGAAUCAUGGCAUUAAUGUAGCUGACAUUAAGAAACUAAAGCAGUCAGGAAUAUGUACAAUAAAGGGAAUACAAAUGACUACACGAAAAAAGUUGUGCAAUAUUAAAGGCAUAUCAGAAGCCAAAAUGGAGAAGAUCAAAGAAGCUGCUGGAAAACUGAAUGAUCCUGGAUUUUUGACAGCUCUUGAAUAUGCAGAUAAAAGAAAAAUGGUUUUUAAAGUAUCAAGUGGAAGCCAAGAAUUGGAUAAAUUGCUUCGUGGUGGUAUUGAGUCGAUGGCAAUUACUGAAGCUUUUGGAGAAUUCCGGACUGGAAAAACACAGCUGUCACAUACACUUUGUGUUACUGCACAGCUUCCAGGUGCUAAUGGUUAUACAGGAGGAAAAGUUGUUUUUAUUGAUACAGAAAAUACAUUUCGACCUGACAGACUUAGAAGUAUUGCAGAUAGAUUUAACUUGGAUCAAAAUGCAGUCCUUGACAAUGUGCUUUAUGCAAGAGCUUAUACAAGUGAGCAUCAGUAUGAACUAAUGGACUAUGUUGCUGCAAAAUUUUAUGAAGAACCUGGGGUAUUCAAAUUAUUGAUUGUUGACUCCAUAAUGGCAUUGUUUAGAGUGGACUUUUGUGGGAGAGGAGAGUUAGCAGAUCGUCAACAAAAACUAGCACAACUUCUCUCAAGACUACAAAAAACUGCUGAAGUUUCCAAGCCGAUCCAAAGAAGCCAAUUGGAGGACACAUCUUAGCACAUGCCUCUACCACCAGAAUAUCCCUAAGGAAGGGCAGAGGUGAAAACCGAAUUGCAAAAAUAUAUGACAGUCCUGACCUACCUGAAAAUGAAGCUACAUUUGCUAUAAGUGGAGGAGGAAUAACCGAUUCAAAGGAAUAAUUGACAAUUCUGCUGCCAUCACUCUUGAAUAUACUUUUACAAAUGCAUGUAGGAGAUUAAGAAAGAUAUACGAAUGUGCAUGAAUCUAUGACACUUUUUAUUUAUAAAGAUCCAUUAUAAAUAGUGACAAAUAAGACCAGAUUUGAGUAAACCAAUACCUUUUGUUAGCAUGAAUAUGUGUGAGAUUUCCUAUCAUGUAAAUAUUGCAGUUUUGUUAAAAUACAACAUAUUUAUUUAAUAUAUUUAUAUGGUCUUAGGCACAGAAGUGACUAAUUAAUGUUGUUAUUAUUGAAUAACAUUGUUGUUACAACAUA
rnacentral:misc_RNA from 1 species